rnacentral:lncRNA from 1 species
GCCGGCUGCCACCCCCCACCCCGGGCCAGUGAGCAGAGGGACAGCUUGGGGCGGCUCUGGGGCACGGCUGCCUCCCCGCACCCCAGGGUGCCGGCACCUGGUGAGGGGAACGGCGACAGCCCCCAUGCGAGCCUCUCCGUGGGUCUGCAGCCAUGGGAGCGGUUUGAUGGGGUCUGAGCCCCCUUGGGGUGCUGGGUGCCAGCCAGCAGAGGGGACAGGGACGGCUGUGGUCUGUCCUCUUGCCUGUCCCAGCUCGGCAUCCCAGGAGCUCCUGGCCGAGCCGGGCACCGGUGAGUUAAUUCCCAGCCCCACGGCGCUGCGGCAGUGGCCGCCUGCUGCUGGCCGGCACGCUGGCCUUUGAUGAGAUGAUAACAGAGCCCGCCCGGUGCCUUGCUACAGGUCGCCGGAAACUUUUCUUCGUCACCAGCUGCUGGAAAGGUCAAGGUGUCCUCCUCCCCGUGCUAAUCCUGGCCCCUGCCCUUUCGCUGCCGUACGCCGGACCCGGUCGAGAUGUCUCAGUGCAGCCGCAUCCCCGGGGGGAUGCUCAUGCAGCUGUGGGGAGCAGUCGGUGUGUCGGAGACGCUGCUGGCCGGGCAGGGACCCGCAGGUUUGCUGCUGCCCUGGGAGCUGUCGGAGCCCAGCUCAGCACACGCAGCUCCAACGGGGCCCCAGAGGCGCUCAGGGCCGCAGCUCGGGGUGGCUCUGCCCCAUCCCAGCCAGCUCAGCCUGGCACGGGGCAGCAGGGCCGUGGGGCUGGCAGGAGGUGCCCAGGAGGAGCCCAGCCUCAGCCUCCCCUUCCCUGCCUUGCCUGAGAGGCCUGGGCUGGCUGUACAAAGCCCGGCCUUCCACAGCUCUGGGCCAACCUGAAGAGGCUGAAGAGAAGCCCUGGGGAGCUUUCUCAUGCCUCUUUGUUCGUGGAGCAAAGAUAUUCCCAGCCCCGAACCUAUAUAGAUUGGCCCUUAAACUAAAACAACCUCCGGGGACCAAAGAAACAAAAGUGGGUUUUGGGUUGUGUUUUGUUUUGUUUCGCGGUGUUUUGUUUCCUGCGCAGACAGCCUUUGCCCAGGAGGGGUUAGCAUGAAAAAUGCAUGUGGGGAUUGGGGGAAUGGGGGAGCGCGAGGAAGCAGCUAUCGAUCAAGCAGCUCUGAAAGCCACACAGCUGUGCCAGCCCCGCUGCCGCCGCUCGCUGCUGUGCCGGGGCUGGGGGCCGAGAGGUGCCGGCACCCA